rnacentral:rRNA from 1 species
CCCCGCCAAUUCCUUUAAGUUUAAGCCAUGCGAGUCGAGAGGGUUCGGCCCUCGGCGUACUGCUCAGUAACACGUGGAUAACCUACCCUAAGGAAGGGGAUAACCCCGGGAAACUGGGGAUAAUACCCUAUAGACUACAGAUGCUGGAAUGCUCUGUAAUCCAAAGUUCCGACGCCUUAGGAUGGAUCUGCGGCCGAUUAGGUUGUUGUCGGGGUAAUGGCCCAACAAGCCAGUGAUCGGUACGGGUUGUGGGAGCAAGAGCCCGGAGUUGGAUUCUGAGACACGAAUCCAGGCCCUACGGGGCGCAGCAGGCGCGAAAACUUUACAAUGCGGGCAACCGUGAUAAGGGAACCUCGAGUGCCUGUAUAUGCAGGCUGUCCAGGUGUCUAAAACACACCUGAAGAAAGGGCCGGGCAAGACCGGUGCCAGCCGCCGCGGUAAUACCGGCGGCUCGAGUGGUGGCCACUUUUAUUGGGCUUAAAGCGUUCGUAUCUGGGUUGUUAAGUCUCUUGGGAAAUCUGGCGGCUUAACCGUCAGGCGUCUAAGGGAUACUGGCAAUCUUGGAACCGGGAGAGGUGAGGGGUACUUCGGGGGUAGGAGUGAAAUCCUGUAAUCCUCGAGGGACCACCUGUGGCGAAAGGCGCCUCACCAGAACGGCUUCGACAGUGAGGGACGAAAGCUGGGGGAGCAAACCGGAUAGAUACCCGGGUAGUCCCAGCCGUAAACGAUGCGCGUUAGGUGUAUCGGUGACCACAAGUCACCGAGGUGGCCGAA